UAAAUGUCUAUAUGUAAGGCAAUAUGAUCUAAUCUGCCAAAGAUACAUAUAUAUAUAGUUAUUGCAUUAGCAACAAAUAUUAUUAUCACAUUUCAGUACAGUUUUAUAUUUGUAUAAUUUUCUAUUUGCGAUCAAUUGAUAAAAAAUAUGAUUGUAGAUAAAAAAUGAGGUUGCAUAUUCUGAUUACAGCUAUCCAUAAAUAGCAAGUAAAUGUGAAUUAUGAGAAACAGUCGCUGCAACAUAUCUAUAUAGCGUAAAUUAAUUCAGCUCAGAAAGAUCGCUGCUGCCGACAACCAUAAUGACUAAUAUUUCAACGAUCACGUAUUCCAAUAGACAUAAAAUGCCGAUGACAUAAAUGCCUCAGAACUGCCAAGGUAAAUCUUUCGUAACAUUAUGCAUAUGAAAUGAUAAGAGAUUGCAUGUAAGAAUUAUGCUAUAAAGAAUCACUCAUUUGCACACAUUCGAAAUUUAAGUGUAAUAUAAAACUCAAAGAUUAAGACGUUCUGUGAGACGUUCACUGUGAGAAAUCUUUGCACUUGAGAUAAUAAAUCUUUAAAGGAAACGAUUCUUUGCAAACAUUGUUUUUGUGAUUAAAGAUAUAAUUAAAACUUUUUUUUCAACAAACAGUUGAGUAAGGAUGAAUAAGGAUGCAGUAACAGCUGUUAAGGAAGCAAUAGAUCUCGGAUAUCGACAUACAUAAUGAUACGGCUCUUUUUUAUGGUAAUGAAAAAAAAAAACGGAGAAGCUAUCCGUGAAAAAAUCGAAGAUGGUAGUGUAACGAGAAAAGAUUUAUUUAUCACCAUAAAAGUAAGGUCAAUGUAUGAUUAAAUACAUGACUUUAAACAUUCAUUUAAAAUCUUUAAUGUUUUUUUACCUUUCAUUCUAUAAAUUCAAACCAUCUAUUUAAAUUUUAAUAAAUAUUGACAUUUAAAUUAAAAAACAUUUUGCUUGGUAAAUUUAAGUGAACAUUUAUAUUAUUAUUUUUUUUUCUUAGUUGUGGAAUAAUUGCCACAAAGAAAAGUUGUUCCGGCUUGUAGAAAAUCAUUGGCCAAUCUUGGUUUAAAAUAUCUAGAUCUCUUAGAAAUUAGCAUGAAAAAGAGAAAAAGAAGAUAUUUUAUUCUAAAACAUUAAAAAAAGAUAUAAAACCAUCUUUGUAAGAUAUGGUAUAUAUAGAAUAAAUUAACUAAUUACUUAAAUUUAAUUAUUUUAUUAAUUGUAUUAGUCAGUAUAUAGUAAUUAAGAUAUAGUAAAAUCUACAUAAUUUUAAUAUUAUAUAUUUUAUAUUUAUUAUAUAGUUGCAACAUGAAAAACGGUAUAAUAUUAUUGCCAACAUAAAUUCUGGAAUAUUAUAUAAUAUAAUAAUUAACAUUUUGUACAUACAUACGAGGUAGAGUCAAAAAUAAACCAAACUUUUAUUUAAACUUUUAUUAAAUAAAUAAUGCAAGUUUUUACAAUAUACCACCUUCAAAAUGUGUAAGCACCUUCAGCAAUGAUUUUGCCGUUCAUACCACUUAUCAAAACAAUCUUGCAAAGCAUUCUUAGCAAUUUCCUUCAGAACUCGCGUUGCAAAACUUUUCACUUUUUCUGUUCAAACCGGCGAUUCUUCGCCAAAUCUUUUAAUUAAAGAGUUUAUUUAAUUAAAGAGUUAAUCAGCAAGAGCGAAAUUCAGAAAGUACAAAGAUAGUGGAAGUACAGAAAGGAUCAUUCGUCGAUGUAUAUACGAUCUUCUUCGAAGUGUUAACUCAAAUCUAUGUACGCGUGACAUUUUAUCAUUAUAUGCUUCACAUAAUAAAUUAAGGUUCUAAUAGUCUCAUAAUAAAUUAAUAAUAAAUUAAGUUUCUAAUAGCCUCAGUUAUAAUGAACGUUUUUUCAAGUUUCAUAUAGAAUUUAAUGUUUACUCACGCUGCUCAUCAUCUUUAAAAUUCAUCUGCUCUCGGUAACAGUUAAUUUAUAAGUAAUUUAUAAGCAAGUUAUAAAAUGCGAGUAUUUUUAACAGU